CUACAGAGGCAGGCAGUCCUCCUUGAGCUGUGGUGGGCUCCACCCAGUUCGAGCUUCCCGGCUGCUUUGUUUACCUAAUCAAGCCUGGGCAAUGGCGGGCGCCCCUCCCCCAGCCUGUCUUCCGCCUUGCAGUUUGAUCUCAGACUGCUGUGCUAGCAAUCAGCGAGACUCCGUGGGCGUAGGACCCUCCGAGCCAGGCAUCAGCUAUCAAAACUUAUGGGAAAUGGAAUUGAAGACAACUACUUCUAGAAUUGGUGCAUGGAAGCUUCUCAUAGGUGAUUAGCCACACUCUUCUUCUGUCAACCUGGUGCAGAAAAGCUUGAAGACCUUGGAAAUCACAUAUUGAUGAUGGAGGAGAUACAAGAAUGAAGGACCCUGGGUUCCUGAAUCAACACUCUAAGAAGAGACUCCUUGAAAUCAAGAGCACUCAUUUUGACAUUGCAAACGGAAAAAUUCACUUCUAUCAGGGGACUGAUCGGAGUCAAACCAUAUGCUGUGGCUUUUGCUCCAUGGAAAUCUCAACUAUACUGCAAGAAUAAUUAUUCCUACUUAAUGAAGUUACAGAAGAGAAUGUGGUGCUGGACGGUACUGACUGCAUGGGGAGAGGCCAUACCACAGAAACCUCAAUCUGCCUGAGCCGUGACUCUGAGAGCUGGAGUACCACUGGACAAGUGGGAACUGGAAGGGAAUUGAAGUAUCUGGGGCACCUGUUUCUCUGGAGAGUAUGAGAGGAAAAAGCAGCUGACAAACAUACUAAGAAGAAAACAUCUGAAAUUUUAAUGAAUUUUUAAAGAUUAAAU
rnacentral:lncRNA from 1 species